CGCGUAGGCGGGCGGUCAAGUCUGUGGUGAAAUCCUUCGGCUCAACCGGAGAAUAGCUGGAGAUACUGGCCGUCUCGAGGGGGGUAGGGGCAUGUGGAACUUCCGGUGGAGCGGUGAAAUGCGUAGAUAUCGGAAGGAACGCCGGUGGCGAAAGCGACGUGCUGGACCCUUUCUGACGCUGAGGCGCGAAAGCCAGGGGAGGCAAACG
rnacentral:rRNA from 1 species